rnacentral:sRNA from 1 species
GUACAUGACAGUCUCUAUUCUUUCACAGAUCUCUCUCUUUCUCUAUGUACUGAAUAAUCUGAUCUUGAUUUUGUGUUUUGGUUUUUCAGCAAGGAGCCAACAGACCAUUGUGGUUUGCUUCAUCGCAGAGUCUCUCUUACUUGGAUGGCAGGUAAUGUUCAAACAACUUUUGGAAUUUUAUUUGUUUUGAGAACUUCAUGAUGUUCAAAAUUUGGAGAUGUUCUGAUUCUUCUUGCAGCUUACCUGGUGACUAUGGAUUCGACCCUCUUGGUCUUUCAGACCCAGAAGGUACUGGAGGAUUCAUUGAGCCAAGAUGGCUAGCAUACGGAGAGAUCAUCAACGGACGGUUCGCCAUGUUGGGUGCAGCUGGAGCUAUUGCUCCUGAGAUUUUAGGAAAGGCUGGUCUGAUUCCAGCAGAGACUGCUCUUCCUUGGUUCCAAACCGGUGUGAUUCCACCAGCAGGGACAUACACUUACUGGGCAGACAAUUACACACUCUUUGUUCUCGAGAUGGCUCUGAUGGGAUUCGCUGAGCACCGGAGGUUACAGGACUGGUACAACCCAGGAUCUAUGGGAAAACAGUACUUCUUGGGGUUAGAGAAGGGUUUGGCCGGUUCAGGUAACCCGGCUUACCCCGGUGGACCUUUCUUCAACCCUCUUGGGUUUGGGAAAGAUGAGAAGUCACUGAAGGAGUUGAAACUCAAGGAGGUCAAGAACGGUAGACUGGCUAUGCUCGCCAUCCUCGGUUACUUUAUCCAAGGACUAGUGACCGGUGUGGGACCUUAUCAGAACCUGCUUGAUCACUUGGCUGAUCCCGUCAACAACAACGUCUUGACCAGCCUCAAGUUCCACUGAGGUGAUCAUCAUCUCAUGUGUUUUUAUGUCUCUUGUAUCGUACAAUAUUUCCAUCUUUCGCUACCAUUGGCUUCUUCGUAUUGUAACACCCUGUGUAAACAUAUUCGUGUUUUGUAAGAAAUGACAAUGUCAAUGGCCAAACGAAAAAACUUUUAGGAUUAACAGUUGGCAUUUGCAAACCAAACAAAGCGGUUAGUAUAUUCAAAGAAUGUUAUGAAAUACUGUACCUGUUAUGCUUUAAAAGUAGUCUCAUCUUAUCACUCUGUAUCUCCCAAACCACCUUAGACAUUUAAGACAAAAACAAAUUUAACAAUAAGCCAUGUUGGUGCUAUCAAAGAGAAACACUAUCAAUGGAUUUGAAGACAAAACUAUAAUUGAAGAAGUAGCUCUUUCGUGUUAUCUUUUAAGCCGUACCUAGUUCAGAACUUGCAAGACGAAUGGAAAGAAGUUCUCCACCAGCAGAAAAUUGCACUGCGUCCAUUAGGUCCUGGUUCCACAUAAAGAACCCUAGUCCAUUGAUAUAAACAAAGGCCAAGCAAGAACAAUUGCGGAGAC